rnacentral:rRNA from 1 species
CGGGUGAGUAACGCGUGAGCAACUUGCCUUUAUCAGGGGGAUAACACUGGGAAACCGGUGCUAAUACCGCAUAAUGCAUCACUUCUGCAUGGGAGAGAUGUCAAAGGAGAAAUCCGGGUAGAGAUGGGCUCGCGUCCGAUUAGGUAGUUGGUGAGAUAAAAGCUCACCAAGCCAACGAUCGGUAGCCGGACUGAGAGGUUGAACGGCCACAUUGG